rnacentral:rRNA from 1 species
GACGAACGCUGGCGGCGUGCUUAACACAUGCAAGUCGAACGGAAAGGCCCUGCUUUUGUGGGGUGCUCGAGUGGCGAACGGGUGAGUAACACGUGAGUAACCUGCCCUUGACUUUGGGAUAACUUCAGGAAACUGGGGCUAAUACCGGAUAGGAGCUCCUGCUGCAUGGUGGGGGUUGGAAAGUUUCGGCGGUUGGGGAUGGACUCGCGGCUUAUCAGCUUGUUGGUGGGGUAGUGGCUUACCAAGGCUUUGACGGGUAGCCGGCCUGAGAGGGUGACCGGCCAAAUUGGGAGUGAGAUACGGCCCAGACUCCUACGGGAGGCAGCGGUGGGGAAAAUUGCACAAGGGGCGGAAGCCGUAUGCAGCAACGCCGGGUGCGGGAUGACGGCCUUCGGGUUGAAAACCGCUUUCGCCUGUGACGAAGGGUGAGUGACGGUAAUGGGGAAAAAAACACCGGAUAACCACGU